AAUAAUCUCCACCCCCUGCCGAGGCUUCAACAUUAUAUCUAUCCCUCCUUGCUCUAGCGGGCAGCAAGAAGCACAGCACCGCCAGUUACCACGCAGACAUCCUGGGGAACUGAGCCUGCUCCAGGUUCCUGACUUGAGGUCCUGUCCAGGCCUCUCUCCAUGAUGGACCAUGAUGGGGAUUCGUAAACCGAAAUAAGUCCUCCCCACUGCUGCUUUUGGUCAGUAUUUGUAUCACAGCGAGAGAAAGCAAACUCGGACAGAUAUUCAUCAGCUGUACAAAGAGAAAAGGCAUAAACUGCUGGAAGCUGUGUCCUUGGGUCAUGGGCACUACUUCCCACAACACCCACUGGCUUUGCAUGGAGACUCUGGACCUUCAGAGCAACGCCCAGUUUUGCCACAUGGAUACAGGGCUUGUGAUAAACUAGGUAGUAGGCCUGGCUCUGUUGCUUUCCCCCUUGCCGUGAGGAAAUCCCUGAGAAAGAUAACUUAAGGAAGGAGGGGUUUGCUCUAGCCGCUGAAGUGAGAGGUGGCAGGCACAGGACGUGGCAUCCGCUAUCAAGAUGCAGAGAGAUGAAUGUGUAUAGUCACCUUCCCUUUCCACGAGGUCUAAAACCCUAGGGUGAGUCUUCCUGCCUCAGUUUACUGAGUUUAGAAACUCCUAUGUCUCCUAGAGAUCCUGAGAGCACACAUUUGAUCUGCUUUGUAAAUACACGAUUUGGUUGCCUGAAAUAAUUUAGUCAGAGGCCAACCCUGGAUACCAUUAAAGUUGUUCUCCUUUU
rnacentral:lncRNA from 1 species